rnacentral:rRNA from 1 species
UUGUAAGUGUUUAAGGGCGCAU